GGUCGCCGCGAAUGACUGCGUUGCCAGCCCCGUUGUGACGCAGGUGGCGGUGCCAGGGAACUUCCUCCCCUGCAGAGGCCACCCCGCGCUCGGCCGGCCAGCGGGCCUCCACAGUCUCAGUCCGGGACGUGGGAGGAGUCCUCCCGCCUCCCAGCCUCGCACCUGGCGGCUGUGACGGGGACCCCGCCGCGGGUAGCGGGGCCUCCGCUCCACCCGAGCACCGCGCGGAGAGCCGAGGCGCGUCUGCUCCGCUACCACAGCUCCUCCCCUGGUUUCAGGAUGAAAAGGCAAACUGACUUCUUGAAAGCUUGCAUCUCCAGCCGGUGUGGAAAAUCUUCCCGGUGGUGGAAAUAUAGACAAGAUUACGAUGUAAGAGUGUUCUGGGACUACCUCGUCAAUAUCAGCUAUUCAGAAAGCGCCAAAGAUUAA
rnacentral:lncRNA from 1 species